AGCGUACACGGUGGAUGCCCUGGCAGUCAGAGGCGAUGAAGGACGUGCUAAUCUGCGAUAAGCGUCGGUAAGGUGAUAUGAACCGUUAUAACCGGCGAUUUCCGAAUGGGGAAACCCAGUGUGUUUCGACACACUAUCAUUAACUGAAUCCAUAGGUUAAUGAGGCGAACCGGGGGAACUGAAACAUCUAAGUACCCCGAGGAAAAGAAAUCAACCGAGAUUCCCCCAGUAGCGGCGAGCGAACGGGGAGCAGCCCAGAGCCUGAAUCAGUGUGUGUGUUAGUGGAAGCGUCUGGAAAGGCGCGCGAUACAGGGUGACAGCCCCGUACACAAAAAUGCACAUGCUGUGAGCUCGAUGAGUAGGGCGGGACACGUGGUAUCCUGUCUGAAUAUGGGGGGACCAUCCUCCAAGGCUAAAUACUCCUGACUGACCGAUAGUGAACCAGUACCGUGAGGGAAAGGCGAAAAGAACCCCGGCGAGGGGAGUGAAAAAGAACCUGAAACCGUGUACGUACAAGCAGUGGGAGCACGCUUAGGCGUGUGACUGCGUACCUUUUGUAUAAUGGGUCAGCGACUUAUAUUCUGUAGCAAGGUUAACCGAAUAGGGGAGCCGAAGGGAAACCGAGUCUUAACUGGGCGUUAAGUUGCAGGGUAUAGACCCGAAACCCGGUGAUCUAGCCAUGGGCAGGUUGAAGGUUGGGUAACACUAACUGGAGGACCGAACCGACUAAUGUUGAAAAAUUAGCGGAUGACUUGUGGCUGGGGGUGAAAGGCCAAUCAAACCGGGAGAUAGCUGGUUCUCCCCGAAAGCUAUUUAGGUAGCGCCUCGUGAAUUCAUCUCCGGGGGUAGAGCACUGUUUCGGCAAGGGGGUCAUCCCGACUUACCAACCCGAUGCAAACUGCGAAUACCGGAGAAUGUUAUCACGGGAGACACACGGCGGGUGCUAACGUCCGUCGUGAAGAGGGAAACAACCCAGACCGCCAGCUAAGGUCCCAAAGUCAUGGUUAAGUGGGAAACGAUGUGGGAAGGCCCAGACAGCCAGGAUGUUGGCUUAGAAGCAGCCAUCAUUUAAAGAAAGCGUAAUAGCUCACUGGUCGAGUCGGCCUGCGCGGAAGAUGUAACGGGGCUAAACCAUGCACCGAAGCUGCGGCAGCGACGCUUAUGCGUUGUUGGGUAGGGGAGCGUUCUGUAAGCCUGCGAAGGUGUGCUGUGAGGCAUGCUGGAGGUAUCAGAAGUGCGAAUGCUGACAUAAGUAACGAUAAAGCGGGUGAAAAGCCCGCUCGCCGGAAGACCAAGGGUUCCUGUCCAACGUUAAUCGGGGCAGGGUGAGUCGACCCCUAAGGCGAGGCCGAAAGGCGUAGUCGAUGGGAAACAGGUUAAUAUUCCUGUACUUGGUGUUACUGCGAAGGGGGGACGGAGAAGGCUAUGUUGGCCGGGCGACGGUUGUCCCGGUUUAAGCGUGUAGGCUGGUUUUCCAGGCAAAUCCGGAAAAUCAAGGCUGAGGCGUGAUGACGAGGCACUACGGUGCUGAAGCAACAAAUGCCCUGCUUCCAGGAAAAGCCUCUAAGCAUCAGGUAACAUCAAAUCGUACCCCAAACCGACACAGGUGGUCAGGUAGAGAAUACCAAGGCGCUUGAGAGAACUCGGGUGAAGGAACUAGGCAAAAUGGUGCCGUAACUUCGGGAGAAGGCACGCUGAUAUGUAGGUGAAGUCCCUCGCGGAUGGAGCUGAAAUCAGUCGAAGAUACCAGCUGGCUGCAACUGUUUAUUAAAAACACAGCACUGUGCAAACACGAAAGUGGACGUAUACGGUGUGACGCCUGCCCGGUGCCGGAAGGUUAAUUGAUGGGGUUAGCGCAAGCGAAGCUCUUGAUCGAAGCCCCGGUAAACGGCGGCCGUAACUAUAACGGUCCUAAGGUAGCGAAAUUCCUUGUCGGGUAAGUUCCGACCUGCACGAAUGGCGUAAUGAUGGCCAGGCUGUCUCCACCCGAGACUCAGUGAAAUUGAACUCGCUGUGAAGAUGCAGUGUACCCGCGGCAAGACGGAAAGACCCCGUGAACCUUUACUAUAGCUUGACACUGAACAUUGAGCCUUGAUGUGUAGGAUAGGUGGGAGGCUUUGAAGUGUGGACGCCAGUCUGCAUGGAGCCGACCUUGAAAUACCACCCUUUAAUGUUUGAUGUUCUAACGUUGACCCGUGAUCCGGGUUGCGGACAGUGUCUGGUGGGUAGUUUGACUGGGGCGGUCUCCUCCUAAAGAGUAACGGAGGAGCACGAAGGUUGGCUAAUCCUGGUCGGACAUCAGGAGGUUAGUGCAAUGGCAUAAGCCAGCUUGACUGCGAGCGUGACGGCGCGAGCAGGUGCGAAAGCAGGUCAUAGUGAUCCGGUGGUUCUGAAUGGAAGGGCCAUCGCUCAACGGAUAAAAGGUACUCCGGGGAUAACAGGCUGAUACCGCCCAAGAGUUCAUAUCGACGGCGGUGUUUGGCACCUCGAUGUCGGCUCAUCACAUCCUGGGGCUGAAGUAGGUCCCAAGGGUAUGGCUGUUCGCCAUUUAAAGUGGUACGCGAGCUGGGUUUAGAACGUCGUGAGACAGUUCGGUCCCUAUCUGCCGUGGGCGCUGGAGAACUGAGGGGGGCUGCUCCUAGUACGAGAGGACCGGAGUGGACGCAUCACUGGUGUUCGGGUUGUCAUGCCAAUGGCACUGCCCGGUAGCUAAAUGCGGAAGAGAUAAGUGCUGAAAGCAUCUAAGCACGAAACUUGCCCCGAGAUGAGUUCUCCCUGACUCCUUGA
rnacentral:rRNA from 1 species